rnacentral:lncRNA from 1 species
AAGGGGAGAAGCUAGCUCUUCCCGUUAUGGAAAAGAACUCAUUGUUUCAGAGCUCAGCGUAAUGAGAGUACACAGGUGGAGAAGGAGACUUGACAUCAGUCAUUUCAGGCUGGAAGGGCGGGGAACAAUCUCUCCUCAGCACCGAGCAAACUGACAGUGUUAGUAAACCUGCUGUACCGGAAUGGGAUGACUUUUGUUUUUAUUUAUUUAUUUUUUGUUUUAUUAUUAUUAUUAUUAUUUUUGCAGAUGUACUCUACACAGAAAAGCAUCCAUCAACAUGGAUCGUGGGCUAUGGUCUGAACAUGUGGAAGCAUAUAUCAUAAAUGAAAAGAGAACAGAAUGAACAGAAUAUGGAAUUACAUUGAAUGAAUACAA